rnacentral:rRNA from 1 species
AUCAAUCUCAGAUGCUCUAGCCUUAGAGUUAUUGUUGAGAGGGCCUUUGGAGCUCUGAAGAACAAGUUUAAGAUCCUAGAUCAAAAGUCAUUCCACACUUUCCCCACUCAGGUUAAGCUUGUUCUUGCUUGUUGCAUUCUGCGUAACUGGAUCCUGCAAUGGCGUGUUGAUGAACUGGUUCCUGAGGAGGAAGAUGUGACGGAUGAUAAUGUUGUCAGCUCCGACCAUGGUGUGGGGGCAUUUGACAACGAAGCCUGGAAGAACAAAAGGAUGGAGUGAGCACAGGCAAUGUGGGAUAACAGAGGUCAGACAAGGAUCUGA